rnacentral:rRNA from 1 species
UACGGGGGGGCAAGGCGUUGUUCGGAAUUACUGGGCGUAAAGGGCUCGUAGGCGGCCAACUAAGUCGGAUGUGAAAUCCCCAGGCUUAACCUGGGAACUGCAUCCGAUACUGGAUGGCUUGAAUCCGGGAGAGGGAUGCGGAAUUCCAGGUGUAGCGGUGAAUGCGUAGAUAUCUGGAGGAACACCGGUGGCGAAGGCGGCAUCCUGGACCGGCAUUGACGCCUGAGGAGCGAAAGCCAGGGAGGCGAAACGGG